CUCUGACCAAAGCCAGCAACCAGUUAUGAGGAUGCAGCCGCAGUUCAGGUUUCGCUGUCACCGGGGGUAUGAGUCAGAAGUGGCCACACUGAGACUGUUAUAAGAGCCCUGGCCAGUAGGAAUGACAUCUGAAGCACAACAGGUGAGGUCCAAGGACUACUCCCAGAGCCAAGAAAAUCUCCCACCUCCCCAUGCCGUAUGCUACUGAGAUAGCAGUUUGUAUCAUCGGCCAAAGGAUAACACAUUUAAAUGUAUGCAAGGAGCCUUAUAAGGGCAUUAACACUUGCCUCCAGGUUGGACGUCACGAUGGCGAGCCAAGGAAGAGGCGCCAAUAAUAGAUUCCUUGUGUUUGUACGUGC